CCAAUACGCACACAUACCACUGCAAACGGUGAGCAUCAUUAUCACCGUCAUCAUCGUCAUCAACAUUCGCACCGAGACGAGAGAGGUCGUUCGCGUCCGCGACGGAUUACGGUGCUCGCCGGAACGUCCCGAACAAGCGUCCUGCGUCCAUGGCAACAAAGUUACAGCAACCCGACACACAUUCCUUUACACCGAGGCAUUACACUGCUGUGUAUGAGAAGGACGCUCCAGCACUUCCUCUACAAUUCAGGCACGCAUACACACACGCAGACACAUCGCAACCCAUCGACAGGGAGUCUUUAAUAGGGACGACAGCUGUAAAAUGAUGCUGGAGCGCGCUGGUGUAGGAGUUGAGCACAAAACGAAUGCAGCCCGUCAACAUUUUCAGUGUGUGAGUGUGUGGGAAACGUCGUUGACUAUUUGACUGUCCCUCGCUCUUUCUUUCCUGUACUAAUCUUCCCAUACUCACACGCGUUCGUGACUAAGCUCGGAAAAUCACGGCGAAUCGUUCAAUCGUUACCACGGCACGGGUACACCAUCACACACACACACCCACAAACACUCCGUCCUGUUUUUCCCCAGUACUUAGUUUUCCUCUCGAAUCUUCUGUCCUUUUCAAACCUACAGCUGACGUAGGCCGCAUUACUUUUGCGAAAACUUCGUACCGAUCGUGUGUGUGUGUGCGCGUUUGCCCCACGAUUUUUCACGUAGCAGUAUCUUCGGCAUCCGUUCGGGUUCGCGCGUGUUCAUGAGUGCGCGCACACACACGGCCACACAGACCACGAACCCGAUGGUGUUCAUUUUGUCUUCGGGUUCGCUGUACCCAACAUGAACACACCUGUUUCGUCGGUCCGGUCUGCCAGAGGCUGGUCCUUGCAGGUUCGGUUUUACGGACGGAAAAAAUACGGCCGCUCCCCAGCCGAUUGGGAUACCGUGCGCUCGGGUACGGUCGGACACGCACACAAACAAACUUGGACACACACACAUAAACACCGCUUUUGCGUCCAGCGGCACUCGGUAGUGCCGUGAAGUCUCUCGGUUUUGCGGUGCGAUGAUUUGCUCUAAAUUUCUGGGCUUAGUCCCAGCUCGCUUACCGACGGGUGCGGUAUACACGUCGCUUUUACACGCCACCGUCCAGUGCACGGUGAAGCGAAGGGCUAGUGUGUGCGUGUGUCUGUGUGUGUUCUAUCUAACAUCCUUUUCCCAGGGACGCUGGCAACGUUCCUGGAGCUCGCCAGCGCGCUUCGCGUUCGGGUUUUUCGAGGGUGAAUCCAGGCUGCCAGGGAACAGCACUGCUCACAGAACGGCCCGGGGUAUAGACAUCCCUUUUUACUACGAGGCUUCCUCCCCCCACACACUCUCACGCUCUCAGUCUCUCGCUCUCUCUCUCGUCCUCUGCUUGCGCUGAACAGAUCACCGAGCCGAGCCAUCGCAGCAGCCCGUUUCGGGAGGUGUGGUCGUGAUGUGAAAUUUUUCCAGUAACCAGUCACGAGCGGGAGUUCGGUGCGUGUACAUUUCGUCCAGUGCGGUUAAGCCCCCGUGUCGUUAUCGUAGUCUCGCGUUUGCCGUGAGAAUUAGUAGAACGGGGUUUUCUGUUUUUCGUUGCCUUUCGUUCGGCUGUACUGCUUUGCAGGAAGUAGUUUGGUGUCGCCCGUUAGUUCGUGCUCGGUGUUGCUGGAGAGGUGGACGUUACUUUUACGGUGCCGCGCACUUGUGUGAAAGCAGAUAGACAAAUUGGUAGCAGUGGCUACAAAAUAGGCAAAUAGUGUGUACUCGCAUCGAAGAGCAUUCGUGGAACGCUGGAACAAAAGGUCCUUCUACGCGGGAAGGGAGAAGGAGAGCUACGGUUUAACAAUCAGUAAGAAGCAAUCAUUUACCUCUAAGACCCGACUAGAAGCAGGCGGGCCGUCGCUAGGUAAAGUAAAGCAAACGAAACGCAACUGAUUAAUCAUGUGUUAAGAGUUGUAUGACACUCUGCGCCCGCUUGCGAGCAGCAUGGAAGCGAAAGAUGUAAAACAUUACGAAAAAUACAAUCAAGAAGUCGCACUUGCAUUCUAUUUUCGAAGAGCGGUAAAACAUGAAACAUGAGCGCUAAAUUUAGCCAAAAACUCAUCGUCCAUUCAGUGGCGAUUUUAGCGAUAGCGUCGAAAAUGAGGGCUAUUUUUAAAUUCUCUAAUAAGAUUUACCGCUGCCCCAAAUACCCCAAACACCCGCCCUCCAUACACAUGCAAGCGAAGGAAACAGAUGGAGACGUAUGGUGGUGGGACGGUUUCCUUCCGGUCGCGCGACCUCCUGCCAAUCGUUUGCCAUCGCCGUCGUCGCCGUCGUGGGAAUUUCCAAGGCAAAGCAAUACACUCGCGUGGCCUUCGCUCACCUGACCCGUGCCCGUGUUUCACUCCGGACACCGGGAGUUUGCAUUUGCGUGAGCGGUGAAGCAACAAACAAGCGAAGGGAAAAAAAGUUGUUCAUGAAAAUCAGAUUAAUAAUAGCGCUCUUCUUAAGUACAAAGGAGAGAGGGAGCAGAGGACAGGACAAACGACGCUUCGACGCUGGAAAUGGACCGGUCCAGCCGAAGGUCGGAUAGGCAGAAACGUCGCGAGAAGUACUUUUCGGUCGGUUAAAAAAAAUCGAGUUGGAAUCUAUUUUCGGGUUUACGGUCACUUGGAGUGAUGAUGCUCGUGCGUCGCUGAUCGUGAUCGCCCUAUCGGUUGAAUUUUAAGUUUGAAAAUGCGAAAAGCGAGAAGCAACACGCACCCUGCCACUGCCACGCUAACGCCCCGGAAGGAACUGACUAAUAAAAUUAAUUCAACUCAAAUGGCUGCAGCAGCAGCAGCAGCUGUGAUGGGAGGAAAGUGUGACCCACCCGCAACUAUUCGCCACAUUCCAGUGUCUCUGAGAAGUAUGGGGGGCCAUGAGGCCAGCAUCGGACUGAAAAUAGCGAACGCACAGUGUGGGAGCCGUUUCUGAAAUCACUGCAAAAAAAAAAGAGAAAAACGAUGUCCUCCGCAUAGCGGCUGCGGCGGAAUUCAAAAAGACACUGUGAGCCAGCGUGUUUUGACAAAGUAGGACAUACACACGAGAAGGGGUGUGACGUCAUGCGGUGAUGCUCUCGGCUAGUGCGGCAUGAGUGUACGGUUUGAGUGUGCGUGUGCUGUGAGCGUGUGUAUGUGCGUGUGUGCAUGGUGUGUGGACGGAGGAAGUGCGACAGUUUUUUGGCAGCGGUGCAAACAGCGCAAGCAGCUUGAGUUUGGAAUUUUCAAGAUAGCCGAGCCAACACCGAUAUCAUUCCCUGGCCAGCAUGCGAAGCCGCCUGCCAGCAUCACAAGCGUGCCACCAUCCCGGCACUUCAUCGAAAUGGACAUACGUGCACACCGCCAUCGUUUCCACUGUUUCAUCCAGAAUAACAAUCUGUGCGCACGAAAUCAAAACCAAACUGCUGUCUCACUGAUUAAGGUAAGUUGAAAUUAAAGUGAAACCCUCUGCUUAAGAAUAACUAAGCUCCCCAUCCAUCUCCAAACGGCAACUCUUUCCGUAUCGCUUUCGACUUCCGAGCAAAGUUCAAAGCGUUUAUGCUUUUUGUUGUUUAAUCUGCUGAGGCCUGUCCUUUGGAAUCCUUUCUUCCCGUAGCUCCGUAGACCAAUUAAAUUGAUGACUAAUCGAUCGAGCUAUAGGUCAGAGAGGCGAACCAUUGUAAGGAUUUUUGUGAUUUGAUGAUUCCGACGAGCAUGGCAUUUGAAGCUAUUUCAAGGAAGUGGUGCCGGUUGUCGUCACAUCAAAGGGAAAAAGUUAGGUCAACCAUUGGACGGCAAGCGUCCGAGCAGUGGGACGCCCUGGGGGGGGUGUGGAAGAAUUAAUGUUUGAUUGCUUCUUAAGCCCCAGAAAGCAAUAAGUCACUGUGGAUGUUUUUAAUUUGCCAACUGGCUUUUCAAAUUUCACUCCACGGGGUGGAAUGUGCCACGGGUUGGUGGGGCUCGCGUUAGCUGCCCAGAGUUCCUGGAAGCACAAAGACCGGACUAUCGGGGAGGACCGGACCUCCCCUCCCAGUGCUUUACUCAGGUGAAAAUCCUUCGUUCGAGUGGUUCCGUUACGCUUACCUCUAAUGCACGCGUCCCCGGGGGUAGUACGAUAAACCUCUGAAACGAAUCUCUUUUAUGUCGUUUUCUUUUCUUGCUUUUUUUGAUAAAUUAUCCUGCGCAUAAUUAAUGACCGUAAAUGCUGGUUGCGCUCAGUGCUCGGUUCGCGUCUUCCUUUCAUACCUUUUUGGUAAUGAUUGCGAUAUAAAUUAGUGAC